CUGUCGGGGCUUGUGCAAUGAAACCCUAUGAACCUCGUCAGGUCCGAGAGGAAGCAGCGAUAAGUAGACCGUUCCAUGUGCCACGAGGUAACCUGUCAGGCUA
rnacentral:SRP_RNA from 1 species